rnacentral:rRNA from 1 species
GGGGCAAUGGCGGCAUCCUAUAAUGCAGUCGAGCGAACAGAAGGGAGCUUGCUCCCGGAUGUUAGCGGCGGACGGGUGAGUAACACGUGGGUAACCUGCCUGUAAGACUGGGAUAACUCCGGGAAACCGGAGCUAAUACCGGAUAGUUCCUUGAACCGCAUGGUUCAAGGAUGAAAGACGGUUUCGGCUGUCACUUACAGAUGGACCCGCGGCGCAUUAGCUAGUUGGUGGGGUAAUGGCUCACCAAGGCGACGAUGCGUAGCCGACCUGAGAGGGUGAUCGGCCACACUGGGACUGAGACACGGCCCAGACUCCUACGGGAGGCAGCAGUAGGGAAUCUUCCGCAAUGGACGAAAGUCUGACGGAGCAACGCCGCGUGAGUGAUGAAGGUUUUCGGAUCGUAAAGCUCUGUUGUUAGGGAAGAACAAGUGCGAGAGUAACUGCUCGCACCUUGACGGUACCUAACCAGAAAGCCACGGCUAACUACGUGCCAGCAGCCGCGGUAAUACGUAGGUGGCAAGCGUUGUCCGGAAUUAUUGGGCGUAAAGGGCUCGCAGGCGGUUUCUUAAGUCUGAUGUGAAAGCCCCCGGCUCAACCGGGGAGGGUCAUUGGAAACUGGGAAACUUGAGUGCAGAAGAGGAGAGUGGAAUUCCACGUGUAGCGGUGAAAUGCGUAGAGAUGUGGAGGAACACCAGUGGCGAAGGCGACUCUCUGGUCUGUAACUGACGCUGAGGAGCGAAAGCGUGGGGAGCGAACAGGAUUAGAUACCCUGGUAGUCCACGCCGUAAACGAUGAGUGCUAAGUGUUAGGGGGUUUCCGCCCCUUAGUGCUGCAGCUAACGCAUUAAGCACUCCGCCUGGGGAGUACGGUCGCAAGACUGAAACUCAAAGGAAUUGACGGGGGCCCGCACAAGCGGUGGAGCAUGUGGUUUAAUUCGAAGCAACGCGAAGAACCUUACCAGGUCUUGACAUCCUCUGACAACCCUAGAGAUAGGGCUUUCCCUUCGGGGACAGAGUGACAGGUGGUGCAUGGUUGUCGUCAGCUCGUGUCGUGAGAUGUUGGGUUAAGUCCCGCAACGAGCGCAACCCUUGAUCUUAGUUGCCAGCAUUUAGUUGGGCACUCUAAGGUGACUGCCGGUGACAAACCGGAAGGAAGGUG